UCCUCAGAAGCUAGAGUAUCUUUCACAAGCUUGGUAAUACCUUCUAGGAACUCCUCACUUCCCUUCUUUCGCAGAUCUCCAGUUUCCUGUAAGAAUUUUUCCCAGACAUAAGUACGAGAAAACCCGAGUAACAUGUUGGAGUUCCCUCUCCAAUACAAGACUAACCACAGCUUGCGAGCCUGAAGAAACCAUCCAUAAAUGGGAGAAGUGAAGACAUUUUCUUGAUUGAUUCUAGAGAGAAGCCGACACUAGCAAACCAGAAACUUGAAUUUGAAUGGGUAAAGCAAACGACGAGGUACAAACCGUAAUCAGCUGCAGUAACCGGACUUCUAUCGGAUUUACUCCAUACUUGGGAUUGCAGCAGAGUCUUCUGCACCUCCUGAUUCAUUACAUUAUAAGGUUUGUUUAGUUUCAACGAUACAUGUAAGCUCCAUGCUUUGAUUUUCUAGUUCCAAAUUGUUACUGUAAUUUAUAGGUGAUAGUAUAGCUCAAUGGUGGAUAAGAAAGUAGUCGUCGUUACCUGGCUGAGACAAGCAGCUAGAGAGACGGCUUUCUUUGCAGCGGCUAGCUCCUUCUCAUAAGACAUUGAAAAGCUUCAAGACUGUUAUGUAUAUAAAAAAAAGCUUAUACUAGUAUGGUUUUAUUUAGCCAAUUUAUAGUCAUUAUUAUUA